CGUUGUCUGAUUCUGUUUCACUCUUUGUCUUCCCCCUGUCCCAAGCGUCAGACUAGACAUUUCUCACUCGGGCAAUUAUUCAGACGACUGCAGGGUCAAGCUGGUCCUUCUGCCCACGGCUACAUUUCACCUCCUGGGAAUGAGUGAUGAGCUCUCGAAUGUAAUCGCAAUCUUGCACGGAGGCCAUAUUUCCCACUUAGCUCCAUUUCUUGGUUGCUUCACAAUUUAGCAUUAGGCAUGUCUGACCUUUCUCAAAAUUUGGCAACACCGCAAUGACUUCAGCUGAAAAAGUGCCAGGAAAUGCCCUGUGACACCCAGAUUCACAGUAUAAAUCCAACUGUUCACAGUGUGAGGAGCAGCCCUACAUCUGGAGUCUGCACACCGUGUUGGGGGGAAAACAUUAGUAAAUCCUGGCUAAGCAGACCACAUCCUCUUCACCCUAAAGCCCUGCAGAUGCCAACUGAGGACAAGGCAGCGGGGAGGAGAGCAGCGCUGAGGAGAGCUGGCUGUUAGCAGACAUAAUGGGAACCAGACCUGCUGGUAGAGAGGUAAUUAAACUGCACAGCACAAUGGCGUCACCACUCGUAAACUCUUCAAGAGAAGUUUUUACCUCGUAGCUCUUCCUUCUUUUCCUAUUGACUCCUGUGCAUCCAAGAUCUGUUAAAAGCGAUUACAUUGAAUUUGAUGACAGGAUUCAGCUUAAUAUCAUCCCUUGUAGCAUGGAAAAACGAGCAUAAUACCCACUAAGUACCUGGACUACUGUUUGUUUU
rnacentral:lncRNA from 15 species